ensembl:lncRNA
GCUGUGUGCCUUGGGAUGCAAAGGGGUGCUGCUGCUCUACGUGCUCCCAGCACAGGGCAUGGGGAGGUGGUCCCCAGCUGGGAGGGAACCACAGUGCUUGUGGUUUUGGUGGUGCCCAGGAGGCUGAGGACCGUACACCUCAUUCAGCUGGUACUUCUGCUCCUAGCUUUCCCUAUUUAUUGAUGUUUUCCAGUCAGAGCUCUGAGUACUUUAUCCUUGUUUUAUUAUUUUUGGUGAUGAGGGUGUUUACGACUGCUCUGCUUCUCCUCAGCAUCCAGAGAGGAAACAGAGAGCUGCAGUUCAGCAGGGACAGAACGCUGACUGGGAGGAGAUGGGGUCCUUCCCACUUUGGUGAUGGGAGCAGACCUGACCCUCUGCUCCAGGCACCACAAGGAGCCCACAGCCAGCAUUCCUGCUCAGCCUCCGUUUUGUGAGCUUCUCAAAAGUUAAAGCAGGCCUGAAACACCUUUGAGUCAACAGGCCGAAAGAAGAGCUUGAAGACAUCGAGAGAAAUGGCCCCUACACCUGGCAUUGCUUUGAGGGGAGCUGCACCUCCAGUGUAUCCUUAGGGAUUGUCCCCAGAGAUGGUUCGUACAGACCAAGCUGGACAAAGGUGUCAUGCAGAGAGGCAGAAACACAGAGAGAUCCAGAGCUUUCAUGGAAGCCAGCUGCCCCAAGGCCUGAUCCACAGCAGUGCUCAGCCCCCAGCACGUGGGGAUGGAAGGUCCACUGCAACUGGAGGGACUCCAACAGCCCCUGAGUGCCUGUUCUUGCCAGAGCCCGUGUACUCAAUCAAGGCUUUGGGAAUGGUGCUGCUGGGGAAUGCUGUGCUCUCAGAGAAGGCAGAACCUGCCUGGAGUCUUUCUUCCUGCACCAUGUGUCCGAGGGCUCUUCUGGGCUGAAAAACUGGGGGGAUUCUGUGUGGUCCCCCCGAUCUGUGCUGAAGUUUUUAAACCCAUUGCAAUGCUGCUUUCAGCCACCAGAUGUGCGCAGUUGAGCCGCGUUGGCUCCCAGCCUGGAAGUGAGCCGUGCACAAAGAAGCUUCUCAGGAAGAUGAUAAACAUCCUAAGAGCCACUGUGGCUUCUGGAGACACUUACAUCAGUGUCUUUUCCUUUAAAUAUCCUGAGCUGAAGCGCCCUUUGCUUGUGAUCUCGUGCAUUGCCCACACAGCCGAAAAUAGGGAGAAAGCUGUGUGGAACUGUCGAGAAGGAGCAGAGGAAGCGUGGAAGAGAAGAGGAUACUGCGUGCAAAGCUGGCAAAGAGGAGGGGAGGAGUGCAGGAGGAGAGCAGCUGGGGGAGGUGAAUGCAGCUAUAGGAUGCAGUUGGGUGUCUGAGACAGCAGAAGAGUUGGGCUGAAUGGAAAGCUAUGCCAGUGACGUGCAGAAAGUAAUAAGAGUGGUGUUGGAUUACUGGGGAUUGGGGAUACCACGGGUAUGGCUCUGCUUUGCUGGCAGGAUGGAUCCCAAGAGCAGCAACUGCCUGCAGAGCUCUGAGGUGCUGGGCAUCACUGUAUGCCCACCUCCAUCCACGUGCUCUGAUAGCACUGGCCAAACCUGAGGGCCUUCUGAAGUAGCCCCUCACCUAAAUAAAGUGCAGCAAUUCAGAUGAUGCA